rnacentral:rRNA from 1 species
AAUUGAUAACAUAAGGGAAAAUAAUGAUAUUACCUUAUUAUUAGUGUCGUCCAAAUCUGGUGCCAGAAGACUCGGUAAGGCCRGAGACACAAACGUUAAUCGUCUUAAUCAGGCGUAAAGGGUUUGUAGGCAGCUUUAAAAUUUACUUAUAAAAAAAUAAAUAAUAAGUAAAAAAUAAAAGCUAGAAUCAAAUAGAGGAUAUAUGAAAGAAUGUUUAGAGUAGGUCUGAUAUCCUUAGAUACUAAGUAGAAUAUUAAAGGCGAAAGCUUUUUUCCAUUAAUGAUUGACGCUCAGAAACGAAGGUGAGGAUAGGAAAUAGGAUUAGAUACCCAGAAUACCCCUCUCUGUCAACGAUGAAUGGUAGUUAUUAGUAAAAAAUAUUAAUGGCAAUGUUAACACGAUAACCAUUCCGCCUUGCGAGUACGGUUG